CAGCAGUCGGGGGAAUAGUUGCACAAUGGGCGCAAGCCUGAUGCAGCCAUGCCGCGUGUGUGAGAAGGCCUUCGGGUUGUAAAGCACUUUCAGCAGUGAGGAAGGCGGAGUCGUUAAUAGCGGCCUCGUUUGACGUUUAGCUGCAGAAGAAGCACCGGCUAACUCCGUGCCAGCAGCCGCGGUAAUACGGAGGGUGCGAGCGUUAAUCGGAAUUACUGGGCGUAAAGCGCAUGCAGGUGGUUUGUUAAGUCAGAUGUGAAAGCCCAGGGCGUCAACCUCGGAAUUGCAUUUGUAAACUAGGCAGACUAGAGUACUGUAGAGGGGGGUAGGAAUUUCAGGUGUAGCGGUGAAAUAGCGUAGAGAUCUGAAGGAAUACCGGUGGCGAAGGCGGCCCCCUCGGACAGAUACUGACACUCAGAUGCGAAAGCGUGGGGAGCAAACAGGAUUAGAUACCCCUGGUAG
rnacentral:rRNA from 1 species